rnacentral:rRNA from 1 species
GACGAACGCUGGCGGCGUGCUUAACACAUGCAAGUCGAACGGAAAGGCCCUGCUUUUGUGGGGUGCUCGAGUGGCGAACGGGUGAGUAACACGUGAGUAACCUGCCCUUGACUUUGGGAUAACGUCAGGAAACUGGGGCUAAUACCGGAUAGGAGCUCCUGCUGCAUGGUGGGGGUUGGAAAGUUUCGGCGGUUGGGGAUGGACUCGCGGCUUAUCAGCUUGUUGGUGGGGUAGUGGCUUACCAAGGCUUUGACGGGUAGCCGGCCUGAGAGGGUGACCGGCCACAUUGGGACGGAGAUACGGCCCGGACUCCUACGGGAGGCAGCAGUGGGGAAUAUUGCACAAUGGGCGGAAGCCUGAUGCAGCAACGCCGCGUGCGGGAUGACGGCCUUCGGGUUGUAAACCGCUUUCGCCUGUGACGAAGCGUGAGUGACGGUAAUGGGUAAAGAAGCACCGGCUAACUACGUG